UUCAAGAUGAACUUCAUUAUAGAUUUACGUUUCGUAUCCCUUCGAAAUCUGCAGCAAGCCAGCAAACCUAGUCAUGAUGGUAGCAAGUGC